AUGGCUCAGAUUGAACGCUGGCGGCAGGCCUAACACAUGCAAGUCGAGCGGUAGCACAGAGAGCUUGCUCUCGGGUGACGAGCGGCGGACGGGUGAGUAAUGUCUGGGAAACUGCCUGAUGGAGGGGGAUAACUACUGGAAACGGUAGCUAAUACCGCAUAACGUCGCAAGACCAAAUGGGGGACCUUCGGGCCUCAUGCCAUCAGAUGUGCCCAGAUGGGAUUAGCUGGUAGGUGGGGUAACGGCUCACCUAGGCGACGAUCCCUAGCUGGUCUGAGAGGAUGACCAGCCACAUUGGGACUGAGACACGGCCCAAACUCCUACGGGAGGCAGCAGUGGGGAAUAUUGCACAAUGGGGGAAACCCUGAUGCAGCGACGCCGCGUGAGUGAAGAAGUAAUUCGUUAUGUAAAGCUCUAUCAGCAGGGAAGAUAGUGACGGUACCUGACUAAGAAGCUCCGGCUAAAUACGUG
rnacentral:rRNA from 1 species